rnacentral:tRNA from 1 species
GGAAUGUAGCUCAGUGGUAAAGCACUCACCUAACAGGUGUGAGGUCCUGGGUUCAAUCCCCAGUACCA